UGGAUUCCUCCCCACAUAUAGCGUACUGGCGAUGAAGCGUAGCCUGGAACAGCUGCUGCCUGCGAGAGAAACCAAUCCAUCAGUCGCAGAAACGAAUCAAAAAGGAAGAACGAUCGAAGAACCAAGGAUAAGAAGUAAAAAACUCUUGAAAGGAAGAACCUGGAGUGCUGGAGAUGGCGCUGCUGCUCCAAUUACAUCGGCCAU
rnacentral:lncRNA from 1 species